GGGAGCGAAGGGCAAACUCCGGGAAACCGGAGGACGCAACCCUGAACCAGAACAGAGUUCGGUUCAGGGUUGCCAUG
rnacentral:ncRNA from 1 species